UUUCAGGGCAUAUUUCCAACACUCAUUGUCAUUCAGGACAGAAUCAUCAUCACUUAGAGACACUUCCUCAACUGGAGCAACAAAAGCAAUAACUUUUUCUUCAUCAUCUGACGACUUAUCAGAAUGCACAGAACUUUGAUCAUUGUUAUCACUCUAAGUAACCAUCAUUGCCUUUUUGUGUUUUUGACCAAUGUUAGCAUAAUCAGUAGCACGAUGCCUACUUCCUCCAUAAGCAAAGUAGGGACUAGAUAUCUUUGACCAAUUAGAAUUUUUCCCUUUGUUUUUGAUAAUUCUUUUGAAAUGCUUGACAAAUAGGGAGAGAUCAUCAACAAAGGUGUUGGAAAUGUGCCCUAAAGCUAAUCAUAUGAUGAUACUUUACAGACAUUUCACAUGUUAACUAACCUAGUUUAAUAUAAAGGGCAAAGAUUAUUGUUUAAAGCCGUCUCAUAUAAAUGUUAUAUGCUUAAACGAUAAGUCCAAGGAAUAUGUAAUUGGGAGAAUGUGAUCUAAAGAAGUUAGAUUUGUUGGUACCAUAUAUUGGGCCUUAUCUUUGGGCCUCGUCUUUGGGCCUCAUCCUUAAGCCCAUGACAAAUGUAAAAGGGGAUGGAGCCCUUAUUCUAUAAAAGGGACUUUCCCUCACCCUCAUUGAAUGACUCACCUUCAGCCUCACCUUCACUAGAGA
rnacentral:lncRNA from 1 species